ACGGAAUAGAUACCCGGGUAGUCCCAGCUGUAAACGAUGCAGACUAGGUGUUUGGACGGCCACGUGCCGUUCUAGUGCCGCAGGGAAGCUGUUAAGUCUGCCGCCUGGGGAGUACGAUCGCAAGAUUGAAACUUAAAGGAAUUGGCGGGGGAGCACCACAAGGGGUGAAGCUUGCGGUUUAAUUGGAGUCAACGCCGGAAAUCUCACCGGGAGCGACAGCAGUAUGAAAGCCAGAUUGAAGGUCUUGCUAGACGAGCUGAGAGGAGGUGCAUGGCCGUCGCCAGUUCGUGCCGUGAGGUGUCCUGUUAAGUCAGGCAACGAUCGAGACCCGCGUCCUCUGUUGCAGCCAGCUUUGUGCUGGGCACACUGAGGAGACCGCCACUGAUAAAGUGGAGGAAGGAGCGGGCCACGGCAGGUCAGUAUGCCCCGAAUCUCCCGGGCCACACGCGAGCUGCAAUGGCAAGUACAAUGGGUUCCGACCUCGAAAGGGGGAGGCAAUCUCGAAAGCUUGCCGUAGUUGGAAUU
rnacentral:rRNA from 1 species